GCCCGGGUGGUGAAAUUGGUAGACACACAGGACUUAAAAUCCUGCGCUUUCACGAGCGUGCCGGUUCGAUUCCGGCCCCGGGCA
rnacentral:tRNA from 1 species